CACAAAUUUGAGGUGUUGGAAAAACACGAGCCGUCCCCCCUGGAGAAAGAUAUGCAUGCAACCUCCCCCCUGAUUGUUUACACCAUACCUGUCUCGAUUGAAUUUUUUCCCUAACCACAAUAGUUGCAAAGAGAAUUCUUCACUUUGCGCUAAAAAAUGAUCUACAUCUUUCGAAACCAAGCUUAUUACUUUUGAAAUAAAGUAUUCUAUAGUAUAUCUAUAUAUAGAAAGCGGGAAGAGAUAGGGACACC